GGGUGACCUUGGGCGAGUCGCCCUCACCUCUCCGGGCCGUACUGGGCUCCUCCCCGCGGCCCCGGACGGCCAGGACACUGCCCGGAGUUCGGUUCGACGCCCGGCCCCGAAGGCAGGCCCUUAACCCACGAGGACAAGAGUGUCGACGAAGUGGGAACGGAAUUACCAACCCCCAACCUGGCCAGGCCCCCGAAACCGAAUAUUCAUGGGCAGGAAAUGUUUUUUUUCUAAAGAAUUGCUUAGGGCGGAGUUGAACCAACGUGAUUGGGACUCAGAUACCUGAGAUUUUAUCCUGGCCCUGGCCCUGCCCCUUACCAACUCUGCAGCAGUCAUUUCCUCAGUGGACCUCAGUUUCUCUAUUGUAAAACGAACCAAUGGUAAAUGACAGUGAUUUCAAACUUCAAUGCACAUUCAAUAAAUAUUUACUAACCUCGUACUGUGAGAGCCUGAAGGGUUCUAGGAAAGAGUUUGGCAAUCAGGCGAACAAGGUCUCUAUCCUGGAAUUUACACUCCGAGGUGGAGAAAGACAAUAAACAGUGAUAAAUGCUUGUUUCCUUUCUAUGAAGACAAUAACUACUACAGUGGUUGGUUAAACUAGAUCAGCUACUUCAGUAUGGAUGAUGAGGGAAAACCUUGAAUGCAGAUUCCAAAUGUUUUCGAAUGGAAUAUGUCUGGGAUCGGACCUUGAAACCCGCAAGUCUAACAAACUUCCUUGGAUGCUUACCCAUUUGGUGGUCCCACACUUCACUUGGAGAAUUCCUGGUUCUGACUGGCUGUGAUCCCACCACCUCAAGACAUAACAGCCUGGAAUGUUGGCCAUCUCCAAGUGCUGACAACUUCCUGAAGACAGAAGAGGCCACAUGAGGGACAGAUAGCCUAGAGACCUGAUUGAUAAGCUGCAGACCAUCUCUGGCUUUGCUGAAUGACUUUGGGCAGCCUCUUUGCCUUCCCGGGCUUCCAUUUCUCUCUCCACAAAAUGGGAAGCAUAAUACCUGCCUCUCUGGCUUAUCAAGUUGAAGAAAGGUACAGUUUCCAUGAAACUUCAUUCUUUUGGGGGAAGCAUUGGUAAAAGGUGGUGAGGUUC
rnacentral:lncRNA from 1 species